AAUAUUCUCUUCUCUCUUAGUUUGUUUCCUGCCACUUAUAAUCAUGUCCAGGUCUUCUCGUUAUAAAAUGUUCCAGUGGAGUCCUGCUAUCGCCCCAAGUCCUCCAGAGGACAGAGGCUGCUCCAGCGGUGGUUUCUGGCUUUGAUAAGCCAUAAACAAAUCCGUCCCACACCGUGGUUUGAGCCAUCACUCAGCCUGAUUUCGGCAGACAGAAAUCCAUACCGCAGUGCCAUUUGGAAUCACGAGGUCAACAUCUUCUCUGAAAGUCCUAUAAGAGAUCUGUCCAAAAGGCACUGAAUGGUGACGUCCCUUCCACAGAUCACGUCACGGAGAUGCUCAGAAGCACAUUGGAACUCUCAUCAUCCUGCCUCCAAAGCGGACUCCCUGAAACAUGCUGCCUCUCACAGGCAAGGGAAGGGCAAAAUUAAUGGGAUUCACAAACACAGCAGAGAGAGAGAAAAACAUUAGCAGUAUCACUUGCGUUGUACAGUAAAUAAUCACAAAUAAAAAAUGUUGUAGAAUUAAGAAAUGGUGGAACAGAUAGAUUUCAUAAAUAUAUAGAAAACAAAUGUGUUAAAUAAUUUUAUGUUCAUUUUACCAAAAAUCAUAA